rnacentral:rRNA from 1 species
GACGAACGCUGGCGGCGUGCUUAACACAUGCAAGUCGAACGGAAGGGCCCUGCUUUUGUGGGGUGCUCGAGUGGCGAACGGGUGAGUAACACGUGAGUAACCUGCCCUUGACUUUGGGAUAACUUCAGGAAACUGGGGCUAAUACCGGAUAGGAGCUCCUGCUGCAUGGUGGGGGUUGGAAAGUUUCGGCGGUUGGGGAUGGACUCGCGGCUUAUCAGCUUGUUGGUGGGGUAGUGGCUUACCAAGGCUUUGACGGGUAGCCGGCCUGAGAGGGUGGCCGGCCACAUUGGGACUGAGAUACGGCCCAGACUCCUACGGGAGGCAGCAGUGGGGAAUAUUGCACAAUGGGCGGUAGCCUGAUGCAGCAACGCCGCGUGCGGGAUGACGGCCUUCGGGUUGUAAACCGCUUUCGCCUGUGACGAAGCGUGAGUGACGGUAAUGGGUAAAGAAGCACCGGCUAACUACGUG